ensembl:snRNA U4 U4 spliceosomal RNA
AGCUUUGCACAGCGGCAGUAUCAUAGCCAAUGAGGCAUAGCUAAGCCAUAAUUAUUGCUAAUAGAAUACUAAAAACGCAGGAUUAUCCCUGAAAAAGAUUUUUAAAAUAUUAAAAAGUA